UCCCCGAUUUCCGGGGCAGUCUCCCUAGAGUGCCCUUGCGUAGCAACUAGGGACAAGGGUUGCGCUCGUUGCGGGACUUAACCCAACAUCUCACGACACGAGCUGACGACAGCCAUGCAGCACCUGUGUUCCGAUUCCCUUUCAGGCACACCCACCUUUCAGCAGGCUCUCGGACAUGUCAAGGGUAGGUAAGGUUGUUCGCGUUGCAUCGAAUUAAUCCACAUCAUCCACCGCUUGUGCGGGUCCCCGUCAAUUCCUUUGAGUUUUAGUCUUGCGACCGUACUCCCCAGGCGGAAUGCUUAAUGGGUUACCUACGGUACCGCAGGGGUCAAUACCCGCGACACCUAGCAUUCAUCGUUUACGGCGUGGACUAC
rnacentral:misc_RNA from 1 species